rnacentral:rRNA from 1 species
CCUACGGGAGACAGCAGUGAGGAAUAUUGGUCAAUGGACGAGAGUCUGAACCAGCCAAGUAGCGUGAAGGAUGACUGCCCUAUGGGUUGUAAACUUCUUUUAUAUGGGAAUAAAACGUUCCACGUGUGGGAUUUUGUAUGUACCAUAUGAAUAAGGAUCGGCUAACUCCGUGCCAGCAGCCGCGGUAAUACGGAGGAUCCGAGCGUUAUCCGGAUUUAUUGGGUUUAAAGGGAGCGUAGGUGGAUUGUUAAGUCAGUUGUGAAAGUUUGCGGCUCAACCGUAGAAUUGCAGUUGAAACUGGCAGUCUUGAGUACAGUAGAGGUGGGCGGAAUUCGUGGUGUAGCGGUGAAAUGCUUAGAUAUCACGAAGAACUCCGGUUGCGAAGGCAGUUCACUGGACUGCAACUGACACUGAGGCUCGAAAGUGUGGGUAUCAAACAGGAUUAGAUACCCCUGUAGUC